rnacentral:rRNA from 1 species
UACGUAGGGUGCGAGCGUUAAUCGGAAUUACUGGGCGUAAAGCGUGCGCAGGCGGUUUUGUAAGCCAGGUGUGAAAUCCCCGGGCUCAACCUGGGAAUGGCAUUUGGGACUGCAAGGCUGGAGUGUGGCAGAGGAGACUGGAAUUCCUGGUGUAGCAGUGAAAUGCGUAGAUAUCAGGAGGAAUACCGAUGGCGAAGGCAGGUCUCUGGGCUGACACUGACGCUCAUGCACGAAAGCGCGGGGAGCAAACAGG